rnacentral:rRNA from 1 species
GCUUAACACAUGCAAGUCGAACGAACCUUCGGGUUAGUGGCGGACGGGUGAGUAACGCGUGAGAAUCUGCCCUCAGGAGGGGGAUAACGGUUGGAAACGACCGCUAAUACCCCAUAUGCCUAUUGGUGAAAUGAAUUUCGCCUGAGGAUGAGCUCGCGUCUGAUUAGCUAGUUGGUGAGGUAACGGCUCACCAAGGCUUCGAUCAGUAGCUGGUCUGAGAGGAUGAUCAGCCACACUGGGACUGAGACACGGCCCAGACUCCUACGGGAGGCAGCAGUGGGGAAUUUUCCGCAAUGGGCGAAAGCCUGACGGAGCAACGCCGCGUGAGGGACGAAGGCCUCUGGGCUGUAAACCUCUUUUCUCAAGGAAGAAGAUAUGACGGUACUUGAGGAAUAAGCCACGGCUAAUUCCGUGCCAGCAGCCGCGGUAAUACGGGAGUGGCAAGCGUUAUCCGGAAUUAUUGGGCGUAAAGCGUCCGCAGGCGGCUUUUCAAGUCUGCUGUUAAAGCGUGGAGCUUAACUCCAUCAUGGCAGUGGAAACUGAAAGGCUUGAGUAUGGUAGGGGCAGAGGGAAUUCCCGGUGUAGCGGUGAAAUGCGUAGAUAUCGGGAAGAACACCAGUGGCGAAGGCGCUCUGCUGGGCCAUUACUGACGCUCAUGGACGAAAGCCAGGGGAGCGAAAGGGAUUAGAUACCCCUGUAGUCCUGGCCGUAAACGAUGAACACUAGGUGUCGGGGGAAUCGACCCCUUCGGUGUCGUANCUAACGCGUUAAGUGUUCCGCCUGGG